UCGAGCGAAUGGAUUAAGAGCUUGCUCUUAUGAAGUUAGCGGCGGACCGGUGAGUAACACGUGGGUAACCUGCCCAUAAGACUGGGAUAACUCCGGGAAACCGGGGCUAAUACCGGAUAACAUUUUGAACCGCAUGGUUCGAAAUUGAAAGGCGGCUUCGGCUGUCACUUAUGGAUGGACCCGCGUCGCAUUAGCUAGUUGGUGAGGUAACGGCUCACCAAGGCAACGAUGCGUAGCCGACCUGAGAGGGUGAUCGGCCACACUGGGACUGAGACACGGCCCAGACUCCUACGGGAGGCAGCAGUAGGGAAUCUUCCGCAAUGGACGAAAGUCUGACGGAGCAACGCCGCGUGAGUGAUGAAGGCUUUCGGGUCGUAAAACUCUGUUGUUAGGGAAGAACAAGUGCUAGUUGAAUAAGCUGGCACCUUGACGGUACCUAACCAGAAAGCCACGGCUAACUACGUGCCAGCAGCCGCGGUAAUACGUAGGUGGCAAGCGUUAUCCGGAAUUAUUGGGCGUAAAGCGCGCGCAGGUGGUUUCUUAAGUCUGAUGUGAAAGCCCACGGCUCAACCGUGGAGGGUCAUUGGAAACUGGGAGACUUGAGUGCAGAAGAGGAAAGUGGAAUUCCAUGUGUAGCGGUGAAAUGCGUAGAGAUAUGGAGGAACACCAGUGGGCGAGGCGACUUUCUGGUCUGUAACUGACACUGAGGCGCG
rnacentral:rRNA from 1 species